rnacentral:rRNA from 1 species
AGCGAACGCUGGCGGCAGGCCUAAAACAUGCAAGUCGAACGGAUCCUUCGGGAUUAGUGGCGGACGGGUGAGUAACACGUGGGAACGUGCCUUUUGGUUCGGAACAACUCAGGGAAACUUGAGCUAAUACCGAAUGUGCCCUUCGGGGGAAAGAUUUAUCGCCAUUAGAGCGGCCCGCGUCUGAUUAGCUUGUUGGUGAGGUAAAGGCUCACCAAGGCGACGAUCAGUAGCUGGUCUGAGAGGAUGAUCAGCCACACUGGGACUGAGACACGGCCCAGACUCCUACGGGAGGCAGCAGUUAGGAAUCUUGCGCAAUGGGGGAAACCCUGACGCAGCCAUGCCGCGUGAAUGAUGAAGGUCUUAGGAUUGUAAAUUCUUUCAGCGGGGACGAUAAUGACGGUACCCGCAGAAGAAGCCCCGGCUAACUUCGUGCCAGCAGCCGCGGUAAU